rnacentral:lncRNA from 1 species
AUAUAUAUAUACUUCUUGAGUUCUUGUUCUUCCUCUAAAAUUUUAUCUUCUUGAUCCCCAUUUGCUAGUUAGAGGUAUAUAUAUAUAAUGGGUUCGAGGAACGUUACUCAGGGAGAUUCAGCAGCUAAGGUUGCUGAAGGAGGUUGUAAACCAAAAUCGAAUGGCCAAAGGUAAGCUAUCACCUUGAAGAAAUAUCAUGCAUAAUUAAUAUUUAUAUAGGUGUUUAUAUAUAUUGUUAUCUUCUAUAUACAGUAAUUAUUAUACGUACGUCUCCUUUAAUUUCUUGUUAAUAUGCUUAAUUAUUUUAUCAGCCUAAAGAUAAAUCUGAUCAGCUACGUACUAAUUAAAAUGAAAUUUCUAAUAUCAUAAUGCCAUGCUGAAAAUCUUGAUAUUGAUAUCAUAUCAUUAAUUAAGCUGGUUUAGACUCUCAUUUUGUCUUAAUUACUUGGACUUAAUUUCACGUUAAAUACUUAAUUUUUGUUUAUUAUAAUUAAUUCCAUGUUAAGGCAGGAGAUCACGUACGGCAAGAGAUUGCUUUCUAAGAAACAAUGUCUGUCCCAAAACAGUUUACAAUCGACCAAGAAAUUCUAGAGGAUAUAUAUUUGGAAGUCCCUCACUUUUGGAUCAGGGAUAUCGUUACAAGUACAAAUGAAUUUCGAGGAAAAGGAAAGAAAAAAAAGUAACAGAAUUUUAAUUAUCUACCUAAAUUUAUUUAUUAAAACUUCAUCAACCGUUCAUUAUAUACUUCACAUUAAACUUAUUCCUGAUAUUACAAAUUUCAAUAUAUAUAUAUAUAUAUAUAUAUAUAUGACGUCAUAAAGAUGGACUUAUAAUAUAAAAAGAUACCCUAGCUGAUGUAUAACUGAUGCCAUAGCUAUAGCUAAAGACACAUGCAUCCCCUAUUCCAAUUUCGAACAUUUGACUAUAUAUAUAUAUAUAUAUAUAUAUAUAUAUAUAUAUAUAUGUAUAUAUAUAAUUAAUACCUUCUUCAAUUUUAUAGUACUAUACCAUUUAUUGAUGAAAUGUAAAAUUGUUUAAUUUCUCAUGGCUUUCAAAACCAUAAGUGGAGUAGUUCUUCUGGUCCGAUGUGAAAUUUUAUAACUCAACAGUACUUCUAAUGCUUGUUUUUCGGGUUCAACUUGCAGCAAUGCCAGGAACAAGUUUGCUUGCGACAAUAGUGAAGCUUCUAAGAGGGAGGUAAUAUAUAUUGAUUAAGGUCGACAAAUAUAUAUUCAUAUAUAAUCUUCCACAUAAUAUCUAUCUGAAUUACAUGCAUGUUUUAAUUAUGAAGUUGUAUCGUACAAUCCAGCAAAUUAAGUACUGAUGUGUACUCUAUCAGUUAAGGCAGGGCGUAUAUUAAUUAAUUUAUCAGCAGAAUAUUAGUCUUAUGUUAUGUCUCCUAAUUUUUAUAUAUAUGACCUUGCAGGAGAUUAUGUACAAACUAUCGCAAAACUUGAUUAGCCGGAAAGAGGCAUCAAUCGCCUGGUCCGCUAGCUCUCUUAAUUUCCCCAUGCAUGCAUGCACACACACACACACACAUAUAUAUCAUGUAUAUAUCAUGUAUUUUGGGCUCGAUCUUUUUGCAAUUUCUUAUUUCUUUUUCAAGAAAUGCAUUUACCAUAUGUGGAUUAAUCUUAUAUAUCAUGGUGUUACAGUCAAAUUAAUGCAUGUGUUACUGUUUUUGUUUUUAUCUUGUGCUUGCAUGUGGCUUCAUUCUUCAACUGACACCGAAAUACUAAUUCAGGGAUGAGGUAUCAAAUCUAUUAUAAACCUAAUUUAUUUUAUUUAUCCUAAUUAUAUAUAUUUCAUGGCUAAUGCUAUUAUUUUCCUUGUAGUCUUUCGAGAGAGACCUGCAGAAGGUGAAAAAAGAUUUGCAGUUUCUUGGAAAAGCAUUGAGGUUGAUGACCUCAUAUUUCAUUUUCUCCACCCUAGUAUUCAUGAGAAAUAUAUAUAUAUAUAUAUAUAUAUAUAUAUAUAUAUAUAUUCAUUUUUUAAAUAUUUUUGUUGUCUCAGAUUUUAUUGCUAUAAUUAAAAUCUGGACCCUUUAUUUAAGUUGGUCCAUUUAAUUCCUAAAAAAAAAUUAAUUAAUUAAACAUUAAAAAAAAUCAACUCUUUUUAAUUUCCUGAUUUUAAUUUGUCAUCUCUUAAUUAUAUGAAUUAUAUUAUAUGCAGGGGCAAGAGGGGCGAUCGUAAGCGCGUGGGCAUGAGGUUCUGAUAAUGGCAGCUUGGUCGGUCUUUUAAUAAGUACUAGCUAGUAUGUUAUCAUGUUAUGUUAUUUCCCUAGUUUCUAAAUAAAUUAAUGCAAACCAGCUACACUUUAUAAAUUGUAGUUGUGCAUCACCGGAUGUCAUGUUGUUCAUGUACGCGCUAUAAUAUUAUUAUUAAACGUUUG